AUCAGUGGAUGUCUGUGUAGAGAAAGGAUUUAUUCGUUUAAUUAAAAUAGGAGAUGUUUCUUGUUCACUAAGAGAUAAGUUUGUUUCUAAAUUAUUUUCUAUUCUACUGUCCUUAGAUUCAUAGAUAUUUAAAAUUUCAUUUCGAUUCAGCUCUGUACAUUCUGUAAAAUUUGGAUGCAAUUAUAUUUAGCACUAUUGUAUCAAUAGAAAAUACUGCAUAAAGAAUAUAUUGUAAUACCGGUAUUAUCUUCAUGCUGUGGUAAAAUAGACCUUCUCAAACGAUUGGUUUGGAGAAUCAUCUCUUUAUUGGCAGUCUUUUGUUGACACUUAUUGUGAGGAGACUUUUCGAUGAAAUUUUCUUUUAAUUGAUAGUUUCUUGACCAAAUACUAGUAUGCUGAAGUUGAACUGAUUUUCGACCCCAUGCAUUAGAUCUAUUUUGAUUCUGAAAAAUACCAAUUCAAACGAUAUUCAGGAUUAAAAUAAAACUUAAGUACAUGUACAAAUUUUGUAUAUUUCUAUAUGUAUUGAUAUUUACCUCCUCUUUAUCAGGAUCAAAAUUAUGAAGCACUUCUAAAGAAAAUGGAUCACAAUUUCCUAAAGCAAAUUGAAGUGCAUCAGCUUGAUUUGUUUCUACACCAGCAUAAUAUAAUUGCUCUUCUGUUAUGUCGGGUGAAGGUGGAUUCAAGCGAACUUGUUUUCUUUGUAGAGGACAAAACACUAAUUGAUGUUUAAAAGUAAUAUCUGCUAAUAUAAAUGCAUCUCUGUAUUCUUUUGUUACAACUAACGAUUUCAUCUUUAAAUAAGAUCCCAAACGAGUUAAAGCCUAUAAUAAUAAUUUCAACCCAAUACCAGAGAGGGAAGGCAAAUAAUCACAGCCUGAUAAAAUACACAUAUAACGAAAACUGUCCAUACUAAAUUGUUCUGCCUGCAGACCCAUAGCAAGAUGUAAAUGUUCUUGAUCUACCAAAGUACCAUGACCAUAUACAUCCAUUUUAAAAAAUACCUAUGAUAAAAGGAAAAAUAAGUAAAAAUAAAAUUUAUAUUGUAUUCAAAUUGAAAUAAACAGAACAUGAAGAUAUUUAAGUUGUAA